GUGGUUUCUGUGUGUGGUGAAUAAUAUCCAACACAGAUUUGAAGGUGGUACAUGUCUGCUUAAAACGACAGCAACUGCUUCACUUGUUUCCAUGAGACAUUUCGUUACUUCUUUUUCUGUGUUCAGAUUCCACAGUUAUAUGUUGGGAGCUGUAAAACUUUCGUCGCCAUCAUAUCGUACAACAAAAGCUGGUCACUCUCGGGGAG
rnacentral:lncRNA from 1 species